rnacentral:rRNA from 1 species
AGUGGCGGACGGGUGAGUAACGCGUGAGAAUCUGCCUUGGGGUCGGGGACAACCACUGGAAACGGUGGCUAAUACCGGAUAAGCCGAUUGGUGAAAGAUUUAUUGCCCGAAGAGGAGCUCGCGUCUGAUUAGCUAGUUGGUGAGGUAAGAGCUCACCAAGGCAGCGAUCAGUAGCUGGUCUGAGAGGACGAUCAGCCACACUGGGACUGAGACACGGCCCAGACUCCUACGGGAGGCAGCAGUGGGGAAUUUUCCGCAAUGGGCGAAAGCCUGACGGAGCAAGACCGCGUGAGGGAGGAAGGCUCUUGGGUUGUAAACCUCUUUUCUCAGGGAAGAAGCUCUGACGGUACCUGAGGAAUCAGCCUCGGCUAACUCCGUGCCAGCAGCCGCGGUAAUACGGAGGAGGCAAGCGUUAUCCGGAAUUAUUGGGCGUAAAGCGUCCGCAGGUGGCGAUUCAAGUCUGCUGUCAAAGCACGGGGCUUAACUCCGUAAAGGCAGUGGAAACUGAAUAGCUAGAGUGCCGUAGGGGUAGAGGGAAUUCCCGGUGUAGCGGUGAAAUGCGUAGAGAUCGGGAAGAACAUCGGUGGCGAAAGUGCUCUACUGGACGGCAACUGACACUCAGGGACGAAAGCUAGGGGAGCGAAUGGGAUUAGAUACCCC